rnacentral:rRNA from 1 species
UGGGGAAUAUUGCACAAUGGGCGCAAGCCUGAUGCAGCCAUGCCGCGUGUGUGAAGAAGGCCUUCGGGUUGUAAAGCACUUUCAGCGAGGAGGAAGGGUUCAGUGUUAAUAGCACUGUUCAUUGACGUUACUCGCAGAAGAAGCACCGGCUAACUCCGUGCCAGCAGCCGCGGUAAUACGGAGGGUGCAAGCGUUAAUCGGAAUUACUGGGCGUAAAGCGCACGCAGGCGGUUUGUUAAGUCAGAUGUGAAAUCCCCGCGCUUAACGUGGGAACUGCAUUUGAAACUGGCAAGCUAGAGUCUUGUAGAGGGGGGUAGAAUUCCAGGUGUAGCGGUGAAAUGCGUAGAGAUCUGGAGGAAUACCGGUGGCGAAGGCGGCCCCCCUGGACAAAGACUGACG